rnacentral:rRNA from 1 species
UACGUAGGGUGCGAGCGUUGUCCGGAAUUACUGGGCGUAAAGCGCACGUAGGCGGAUUUGCCAGUCAGGGGUGAAAUCCCGGGGCUCAACCUCGGAACUGCCUCUGAUACAGCAAGUCUUGAGUCCGGAAGAGGUGGGUGGAAUUCCUAGUGUAGAGGUGAAAUUCGUAGAUAUUAGGAAGAACACCAGUGGCGAAGGCGGCCCACUGGUCCGGUACUGACGCUGAGGUGCGAAAGCGUGGGGAGCGAACAGG